CUAGUGCACUACUAGCGCACCCUUCGCGUCAACGGACAAACUCGGGACCGUUCGUUUGUCUCGUGCGAUUUUUUAAUUCGAAUUAAAGGAAUUAUUUCAAGCGCCGAUCAUUCUUCCUGAUAAGAAAUUCCUGAUAAUAUGGAUCCAGCAUUGUUGAGGGAGCGAGAGCUCUUUAAGAAAAGGGCCCUAACUACGCCAACCGUCGAGAAGAAAAAGAAGGAACAAGAAAAAGAUAUCGGUCGUGAUGAUCCCCAUAAAAAGAAGCCAAAACCUUCGACAGUUUCGACCGGACCAAAGUUGGAUAUGGUCAAUUACAAAACCAUGGCCGGGAGUACCCAAUACAAAUUUGGCGUUUUGGCAAAAAUAGUAAAGCAUAUGAGAGCCAGGCAUCAAGAUGGGGAUGAUCAUCCUUUAACUUUAGAAGAAAUCUUGGACGAAACUAAUCAAUUAGACGUAGGAUCUAAAGUAAAAACGUGGCUUCAGACGGAGGCAUUGUUAAAAAAUCCUAAAAUAGAUGUUACACCGGAUGGUAGGUUUGCGUUUAAAGCUAUGUACAAAAUUAAGGACAAGAAAUCGCUAUUGAGACUUUUAAAGCAACAAGAUCUGAAGGGACUUGGGGGAAUUUUAUUAGAAGAUAUACAAGAAAGUUUACCCCAUUGCGAUAAGCAUUUAAAGAGCUUACAAAACGAAAUAUUACUUAUAACGCGGCCUCUUGACAAAAAAAAAAUCGUCUUUUACAACGAUAAAACGGCUCAUUUUCCUAUCGACGAGGAAUUUCAAAAAUUAUGGAGAGCCGUGGCGGUAGAUGCAAUGGACGACCAGAAAAUAGACGAAUAUCUGGAAAAACAGGGAAUCAGAUCGAUGCAAGAUCAUGGCCCGAAAAAAUUGGCACCCGUUAAAAGAAAAAAGCCCAAUACUAAGAGGAAACAGUUUAAAAAGCCAAGAGACAAUGAACAUUUAGCGGACGUUUUAGAGACUUACGACGACGCUAAAUAAAUGAUUCGUAUUAUCUGUAAAUAUCUACGUAAUCUUGAGCGAUGGCUGUGUUUGUUCGUGUGCCUGUGAAAAAUAUGAUUGGGGAGUCUAACUGGAUAUAGAGUAACACAUCUCUUCGAUACUAUAAUAAAUAAAUUUUAUCCGUGGUAGGUGUCUGUGUUUAAUAUUCAAAAGCCUUGGAUCGAAUCGAAGAUUAUAAACGAAUCGAUGAUGGACCUUUCCAAAGUCGUGAAUUUAUUAACACUUUGCCGUUAUUUCUCGAUACCGCUUAACAACCUACGACAAAGCCUAUAGCCUUUAAUCAAAGGCAGUUGUCUGUCUCUGCUGUAAUUAUUCAUCGAUAACUCAUUAAUCAACGGACUUUGGGAAAGCGAUGCUUCCUUCUGAAGUAUCUAGUUUGUGGCCGUCAAACUGUUACUACGAAAUAAAACGAAUCACGAGGUUUUUCAUCCAUUGGCAAAAGAUAAUUUACUUUAUAAACGUGCGUUAUUAAAACUUGUACACGAUUUGUAGUUGUUCUACGUAGUAGAAAUGGUAUUGGAUAAAAAAUAUUAACAGUAUGAUACAAUC